rnacentral:rRNA from 1 species
AUGUACACUACCAAGAAAUCCCCCGGGUGCAAGUCGGACAUGGCAUGUAUACUACCCAGACAAUGGCUUGGUCUGCACUCUGCAGCAAGCACGCUCAACAGACGCUCGCCCGGCGGCCUCCACCGCGUUCGGCCUCCCUCGCUCGUCUCCGGGCUGCGGCUCCCCCGGCCGGCCCCGCCCGCUGCCGCCUCCCGCGCUUGCCGGCUCCGCCCGCUCGCCUGUCCUGGUAGGCCGGCGUCCCCUGCGGCUUCCGCGACGCCCUCCGCGGCCGGCUUCUCCUCCGAGCCUCCGCUCUCCUCCGACUCGGCCGCGACCCGGCCAUGCCAGCGUCCACUGACCCGGCCACACCGGCUCGCUCCCGCAUCCUGGCCGUGUGCACCUCUGCCGCCCGCGCCGCAUCCUCACCCGCCCUCUGCAAUACCCGGCGUCCGCCUCCUACGCGAGCACCGGCCCGGGCCGACUCUGAGUCGCCCCUGGACGGCUUCGUCUCGCCGGCUCCAUCGCGCCUCGCGCCGGCCCCGCCAGCAGCGCCGGGUCCGGCCUCUCGCGCCUCCGUGCCGGCUCCGUGCCCGCGCCCUCGCUGGCUCCUGGGUGGGCCGCCUCGUCCCGCCCCGCGGCCGGCUUCCCCCGCCUCCGCGCGCCCGACCUGGACCGGCUCCGGGUUGCCCAUGCCUCCCGCCGGCUUGUGCCACCGUCGCCGCCGAGUCACCACCCGACCGUCUCCGUGCACCAACCCCGGGCCGGCUCCAGGUCGCCGACCGUCCGCCCAGCCGGCUCCGACCCCGCGUUGCGUCGGGUCGCGCCGGACCUCCGCUAACCGAGGCCGGCUCCGGCCUCUCCUUGGCGCUCCCUCGCGCACCCUCGCCGGUUUCCUUGCAGCCUGGCCUGCCCAGCUACGCCCGCGACGGCUCCCCCUUCGACCCGGCCCGCCGGCUCUGCCUGCGCCGGCUUCUGCCGCGUCCGCGCCCGCCGACUCCACGCGACCCGGCCGCGCGCCCGUUCCGCGCGACUCGGCGCCGUCCAGCGUCCUCGGUGGCCUCUCGUGCUGGCUGGCUCACACCCGCAGGGCCGGCUCGCCUCCCUGGACGGCCGGCUCCGCCCCCUGUCCGGCGACCCGGCCGCUUGCCGGCCCCGCCCACAUCUCGGCUGGCCGGCUGA